rnacentral:sRNA from 1 species
GCAAUAGUGGCUUAUACGUGGGCGGUCGGCAUCACCUCGGAAAGGAGGUGAUGCUAUGGAGACGUUUCAGGCUCUUCAAUUAAUGUUCUUAUUUGGAAUGUUUAUUUUAGCGCUUCUAACGUUUAUCCAGAAAAUGAAAUAGAUCGCCCACCGUGCAAAGGUUAAGUGCGAUCUAUUCGUAAUUCCUUUAAGCCGACCGCCUAGUAGCGCGGCUAUUGCCAGACCGUGGACGAUACCAGCGUCUGCG